rnacentral:rRNA from 2 species
GGAUUCCCUUAGUAACGGCGAGUGAACAGGGAUUAGCUCAGCACCGAAGCCUGCGAUUAUUUGAUUGCUAGGCAAUGUGGUGUUUAAAUUGGUUUUUGGCAAUUCUGCUUCAUCCUAAGUCCAUCAAUGAGUACGGCCAAUGGACCGGCCCAUAGAGGGUGAAAGGCCCGUGUGGAUGAAGAUCAAGUGUGACAGGAUUGUCAUAAACCAAUUGUGGAGUCGGGUUGUUUGAGAAUGCAGCCCAAAGUGGGUGGUAGACUCCAUCCAAGGCUAAAUACUGGCACGAAUCCGAUAGCAAACAAGUACCGUGAGGGAAAGUUGAAAAGUACUUUGAAGAGAGAGUAAACAGUGCGUGAAACCGCUCAGAGGUAAACGGGUGGAGUUGAACUGAAAUYCGCGAGAAUUUAACUGAUGAGUAUGGCAUGCGCUUGAGCAUGUUGGCCAGCACCAAGGGUUUGCUUAAUUGCGGGCCUUGACUUUUCGGGGUUUGGGUACACGUUGCACUUAUCAAGUGUUGUGUGCUUUGGUUGCGUUGGGCUUGCUUGUCAGUGCAUUUUCUCGGGGUGAUCACCACGACCGGCGUAGUUGCCUUUUCGCCGCGGUUAAACCGAUCAAAUUUGGUCAUGUGGCCGGGUUUGGUCGGGAUGGCAGGUAGCUUGUUUGCUCAUUUGAGUUUGCAAGUGUUAUUAGCUGACUGUGGCAAAUCUGUGCAAUAUGUCGGAGAUGACGGCUUUGCCCACACUGUUUGGCAAAUCAAGUUGAGUUUGAUUGGCAUGUACUUGUUUUGGCAAGUCUGCUAGUAGCUUAGCAAGAUUUUGUUAUCAGUAGUGUGUGUAACGUGCUUUGAGCCUAUAGACUGUGGUGUAGUGGUAGACGAUCCACCCGACCCGUCUUGAAACACGGACCAAGGAGUUUAACAUGUACGCGAGUCAUUGGGCGUUACAAAACCCAAAGGCGCAGUGAAGGUAAAGGUUCGACUUGUUCGGACUGAGGUGAGAUCUUGUUGUAAUUAUUUAAUAUUAUCAAGCAUAAUGCAAUAAGCGCAUCACCGGCCCGUCUCAUGGUGUAGUCAUAAAGGUUUGCUUUGUGCGUCAUCGGGGCGGAGCUAGAGCGUACACGUUGAGACCCGAAAGAUGGUGAACUAUGCUUGCGCAGGUUGAAGCCAGAGGAAACUCUGGUGGAGGACCGCAGCGAUUCUGACGUGCAAAUCGAUCGUCAAACGUGAGUAUAGGGGCGAAAGACUAAUC